ensembl:misc_RNA
UGGCCGUUAAAGAACAGAAACAGAGCAGUAAGACUGCGUGGCUACAUUUUCCCAGUGCCACCAACUGAGAGUUAAGCUGACUAACGUGUUGAAAGCCCAGCCCAUUUCGUUCACAGCAGGCACGGCAGG